rnacentral:rRNA from 1 species
CACCGCGGUUAAACGAGAGGCCCUAGUUGAUAUUUUUACGGCGUAAAGGGUGGUUAAGGAAAGCACAACAAUAAAGCCGAAUGGCCCUCUGGCCGUCAUACGCUUCCAGGUGUCCGAAGUUCAACUCACGAAAGUAGCUUUAAUACAGCCCACCUGACCCCACGAAAGCUGAGAAACAAACUGGGAUUAGAUACCCCACUAUGCUCAGCCCUAAACCUAGACAUCCAACUACAAUUAAACGUCCGCCCGGGUACUACGAGCAUCAGCUUGAAACCCAAAGGACCUGACGGUGCCUUAGACCCCCCUAGAGGAGCCUGUUCUAGAACCGAUAACCCCCGUUAAACCUCACCACUUCUAGCCACCCCAGCCUAUAUACCGCCGUCGUCAGCUUACCCUGUGAAGGCAAUAAAAGUAAGCAAAAUGGGCACAACCCAGAACGUCAGGUCGAGGUGUAGCGUACGAGGUGGGAAGAAAUGGGCUACAUUUUCUACAUUUAGAACACUACGGAUAAUGCAACAUGAAAUAGUGCUUGAAGGAGGAUUUAGUAGUAAAAAGGAAGCAGAGUGUCCUUUUGAACCCGGCUCUGAGGCGCGUACACACCGCCCGUCACUCUCCCCUGUCAAAAUGCAAUAACAAUACAUAAUGCCAUAGCACUGACAAGGGGAGGCAAGUCGUAACAUGGUAAGUGUACCGGAAGGUGCACUUGGAUUAAACUCAGGGUGUGGCUGAG